rnacentral:lncRNA from 1 species
CUCUGAAAUCGUCCCGCCCCGAUUUUUUUUAUUUAACAAAAAUACGAUUUCCAGAUUUUGGUCAUGUCCGUUACCAGGAACCAUCAAUAAUUUCGUUUCAUUCGAAACUUCCUGUUUCAAAUUUCUUUUUUUGUAUUUCUUCGCCGGAGUAAUCCCAUCGAAAAUGAUUAAGUCGAAAUAUUCUGCUGCUCUAUGAUGACAACAUCAUCUACCGAGAAUAGAGAUUGAUAACGAGAAGGGCAUGAAAUAUUCGAGUUACGAGUAAAACGCCUUGUCCUUGAACGCAAAUUGCGGUAGUCACCGGUAGUAACAAGUGAAUCGAAAAUCGUGUUUUUUUCUUUAUUUAUACAAUGACUUUGUGUCAGGAAAUUUGGACUGUGAAUGAUAUCCAAAGCGCAAGAAUCGUAGAACAAAUUGGUACAAAAACAUGACUGGAUUAAAGAAAUUGACACAAGCACGAACUUGUUUGAAUUAUGACCGUAUAUUGGGAAAAAAAUGUCGACAAACACGCAUUUUAAUUAAACAAGCCCUUCUAUUCACCCAUGGCUUUUGUUUUUGUUGACAAACAGCAAACACCCUCUGUUACUGUCCCUUCCAUCAAUUUAGUCAUUAAGCCACAACUAAUGUUUGGGUUAAGUUCAUGUUUUACAUCAUAAUUUCUUUCAACACUGAGUUUACAUUUUAUUCUGUACUCGUAAUACUUGUGUUGCAUACAAUUGUACCAAAACAUUUAAUUGAUUUUAUGACGACUACAAACCAUUGCUUAUCAAGCAAAAAAAAUGAGGUGUAGGUAUACUAGUAGUCUAACUGAAGACUGAAGAGAGCAUUUCUCUUCUUUUUGAUGUCUACUAUAAAUAGGUUUCUAAAGCGGCAAUUGCAUAUAUAACAGUGGUUGCCAAUCAGGGAUUUUUAUUUAAGAGUUUGAAAAAUAGUGUAGGAUUCCUUAUACAGCAUGUAUAUACAUUAUACAAGCUUGUUUCCCACUAGCAUACACCCCGCGGUCUGAAAAACUCAUGACGAGGGUUUCAUAUGAAAUAAAAUUUAAAAAAUAAAAUCCUCCCACCCGCCC